rnacentral:rRNA from 1 species
UGAGUACGAAAUGCUACGGCAUUGAAGCAGUCUAUGUCAUACUUCCUAGAAAAGCUUGCACUGUCAUAAACAAAUAAUGCCUGUACCAUAACCGACACAGGUGGGUAGGUAGAGUAUACUAAGGGGCGCGAGAUAACUCUCUCUAAGGAACUCGGCAAAAUGACUCCGUAACUUCGGGAGAAGGAGUGCCUUAUUUAUAAGGUUGCAAUAACAAGAUCCAAGCAACUGUUUAUCAAAAACACAGGUCUCCGCUAAGUCGUAAGACGAUGUAUGGGGGCUGACGCCUGCCCAGUGCCAGAAGGUUAAAGAAGUUGGUUAGCAUUCGCGAAGCUGAUAACUGAAGCCCUGGUGAACGGCGGCCGUAACAAUAACGGUCCUAAGGUAGCGAAAUUCCUUGUCGGGUAAGUUCCACCCGCACGAAUGGCGUAAUGAUUUGGAUACUGUCUCGGAGAGGGGCUCGGUGAAAUAGACUUGUCUGUGAAGAUGCGGACUACCUGCACCUGGACAGAAAGACCCUAUGAAGCUUUACUGUAACUUGAAAUUGAAAUUGGACUUUAUUUGCGCAGUAUAGGUGGGAGGCAUUGAAGAUAUUCUUGCGGGAAUAUUGGAGCCAUCAGUGAGAUACCACUCUUGUAAUGUUAGAUUUCUAACUUUGUAUCAUUAUCUGGUCAAAGAACAGUUUCAGGCGGGCAGUUUGACUGGGGCGGUCGCCUCCCAAAUGGUAACGGAGGCGCACAAAGGUUUCCUCUGAACGGGUAGAAAUCGUAUCUAGAGUGUAAAGGCAUAAGGAAGCUUGACCGUGAGACCUACAAGUCGAGCAGGGACGAAAGUCGGUCUUAGUGAUCUGACGGUGCUGAGUGGAAAGGCCGUCACUCAACGGAUAAAAGUUACUCUAAGGAUAACAGGCUGAUCUCCCCCAAGAGUUCACAUCGACGGGGAGGUUUGGCACCUCGAUGUCGGCUCAUCGCAUCCUGGGGCGGUAGUACGUCCCAAGGGUUGGGCUGUUCGCCCAUGAAAGCGGUACGCGAGCUGGGUUCAGAACGUCGUGAGACAGUUCGGUCCAUAUCCGGUGUAGGCGUUAGAAUAUUGAGAGGAGCCUUCUUUAGUACGAGAGGACCGAGAAGGACAUACCUCUGGUGUACCAGUUAUUGUGCCAACGGUAAACGCUGGGUAGCUAUGUAUGGAGAGGAUAACCGCUGAAAGCAUCUAAGUGGGAAGCCCACCUCAAGAUAAGUAUUCCC